AUGGCCAACAAAUCCACCUCUGAAGUUAGCCAUGGCCAGCUGCCCAAGACAUCGUCCACAUGCUUGACGGAGGGUGUCACUGCGGUGCAUGAUUUUGAGGUGGCCAAUUACCGGUUGCUGGAUGGCAUCGGCGUCGGCAAGCACGUUCGCUCAAGCAACUUCAGCGUGGGUGGCUUCGAAUGGUUUAUCAAUUUCUUCCCGGACGGGAGGAUGGCAGACUACGCUGGCUAUGCAUCAGUCUUUCUGGACCGUGUCAUCCAACAGAAUGACACGCAUAAUGUCAGGACUAAGUUCACCUUAAACAUGCUAGAGAAAGACGGCGAGGCACAAUUAACUAAAUGUGAUGAGAUUGAUCAUGUCUUUUCCUCAGCAAAGUCAUAUUGGGGCUACUUCAGAUUCGUUGCCAAAGUGAAACUGAAAUCAUCGUCGCAAGCCAGCAAUGGCUCCUUGAUUAUACGCUGUGUUCUCACCGUGAUAAAAGAACCUCGCACCAAGGUUAAGAGGAACACUGUUGUCGUUCCGCAGCCGAAUCUGCAAGAUCAGCUCUCCCAAAUGUGGAAGGAUGGCCAGGGAGCAGAUGUGACAUUCAGUGUGGGUGGCCAAUUGUUCAAAGCUCACAGAUGCUUAUUGGCUGCACGGUCUCUGGUUUUCAAGGCGGAGCUCUUGUGUUCGAUGAAGGAGAAGGAAACACACUGCGUCAAAAUUGAUGACAUCCACCCUGAAAUCUUUGAAGCUCUUCUUCACUUCAUAUACACUGAUUCCCUGAUAGUCGAUGAGCACCACAGAGAAGGUGGAAUUGCAAAACUGCAGCAUCUGCUAGUUGCCUCGGAUCGAUAUGGAUUGGAUAGGUUAAAUGCAAUGUGUGAAAGUAAAUUGUCCGAGUGCAUUGACGUGGAGACUGUUGCCACGACAUUGGUUUUAGCAGAGCAACACCACUGCAAGGAUCUCAAAGAAGCUUGCGUCGAGUUUAUGGCUCCACGGAAUGUUCUGCAAGCUGUCAUGGCAACCGAUGGUUUCAAGCAUUUGGUAGCAAGCUGUCCUUUGGUCAUGAAGGAGUUAUUGGACAUGAUGUCCCGCAGUGGCUAG
rnacentral:rRNA from 1 species